GACGAACGCUGGCGGCGUGCCUAAUACAUGCAAGUCGAACGCUGAAGAGAGGAGCUUGCUCUUCUUGGAUGAGUUGCGAACGGGUGAGUAACGCGUAGGUAACCUGCCUUGUAGCGGGGGAUAACUAUUGGAAACGAUAGCUAAUACCGCAUAACAAUGGAUGACACAUGUCAUUUAUUUGAAAGGGGCAAUUGCUCCACUACAAGAUGGACCUGCGUUGUAUUAGCUAGUAGGUGAGGUAAUGGCUCACCUAGGCGACGAUACAUAGCCGACCUGAGAGGGUGAUCGGCCACACUGGGAAUGGGACACGGCCCAGACUCCUACGGGAGGCAGCAGGAGGGAAUCUUCGGCAAUGGGGGCAACCCUGACCGAGCAACGCCGCGGGGGUGAAGAAGGGUCUCGGAUCGGAAAGCUCUGUUGUAAGUCAAGAACGGGGUUGAGAGUGGAAAGUUCACACUGUGACGGUAGCUUACCAGAAAGAGACGGCUAACUACGUG
rnacentral:rRNA from 1 species